rnacentral:rRNA from 1 species
GUCCACGCCGUAAACGAUGGGCACUAGGUGUCGGGGGUAUCCACUCCCUCGGUGCCGCCGCUAACGCAUUAAGUGUCCCGCCUGGGAAGUACGGUCGCAAGAUUAAAACUCAAAGGAAUUGACGGGGGCCCGCACAAGCGGUGGAGCAUGUGGUUCAAUUCGAUGCAACGCGAAGAACCUUACCUGGGUUUGACAUCUGGCGAAUCCCGGUGAAAGCCGGGAGUGCCCGCAAGGGAGCGCCAAGACAGGUGCUGCAUGGCUGUCGU